CCGAGUUGUCCUCCGUGACACUCCCUUCAUACCCCUUGUGAACCUUACCAUCGUUGCCUCGGUGGGCUGCCUCACAGCGCCCGCCGGCGGCCCAUUUCUAAAAUUCUGUAUACUUUGAAAACCUAAUUCUGAACCUAUAACAAAUUUAUGUUA
rnacentral:misc_RNA from 1 species